AAUAGCUAGACACUACGUGUUGAGAUUAUAUUACCUACAUAUGUACAUGCGCACUUAUGCUCAUACGUGUCAUGUGCAACAAAAAAAAAAAUAAUAAAACUAACACUAAAACUAACACUAAAAAAAAAAAAAAAAAAAAAAGUGUAAAAUAAUUAUAUUUUUGUUUUGUUUGUUUGGAUUUUUUCUUUUAUCCUAUUUUUUUUUAUCGCCUCUUCGUGCGUGCUGAUUUGUAUUUGACUUCUUCAUAUUCCAGCACUUGUUUCCCAUCGCCUUAUAACCAACACAUAACCUUAAUGUAACUUAUCAAAAAAAAAAAAAAAAAAAAAAAAAAAAAUGGAUCUAAAAGGUGCAAAUAAAAACAUAGACAGUAAUGAUAUUUUAUGGAAAUCGUUAUAUAAUGACUUCGACGAAAUAACAGACACUAAUAAAAGGCAUUUGAAUUAUAUAGAAAAUAGUUUACAUAGUUUUUGCAAAGGCGUAAAGUCAGCAGAUAAUUUAAGUUAUGGUAUAAACAGAGAUAAAGAUGAUGACUUUCAUUUAAGGAGUGCAAAUAUGAAUGAUGAGACCAAAGAAGUGAAUAAAUAUAUUACUAGUAGUAAUAAAGAUAUAAAUGAAGGUAAAUAUACGAGUAUGGACUCACUUAAUAGUAUGAUGGAUAUAAAUAAAAAUGAAAAUAUUAACAGAAGUAUGCCUAAUAUGAGUGGAAAUAGUAACAUGAAUAAUGUAUUAAAAUAUGAUAGAAAUAUAAGUUUUUUAAAUAAACCAGAUAGUUUGUAUUUAAAAAAAAACUAUAUGUCAAAUGAGUUUGUAAAAAACAAUGAUAAUGAUAGUGUAUAUUUAAAAGGAUUACUCGAACAAAACUGUAUUGAAUUGCCAAAUAAAGAAACUAUAAAAACUCCUGGAAAUAUAAAAACAUCUUUAGUGCAUUCUUAUUGUUCAUCGGAAAAUGGUAAUAGAAAUGAUAUUAAUUUCGAUACCAAAUUAAAUUGGAAACGCAUUAAUAACUUGAUACAUUCAAAGAUGGAUAACUAUAAUUUUUAUGAUAAUAAAAAUUUACUAGAUAAUAAUUAUGAUAGUAAUAAAAAAUGGUUUGACAGUACUAGUGAAAAAUUGUAUGGUAAUAAUAUGAACAGAAGCUAUAUUGUACAUAAUAAUAAUAAUAAUAAUACUAAUACUAAUAAUUUAUAUGAUAGUCAAAGUGUCAAAAGUUGGUGUUACAAUAGUUUAAAAAACCCAAAACAAAAAAUUGUGUUAACAAGUAAAAGGGAUGGGGAUGAAGAUGGGGACGAAGGUGGGGAUGAAGAUGGGCAUGAAUAUACAUCGUUAAUUUCUAAGAAAAUAUAUCUUGAUUAUAUAAAAAAAGGAGUGAGACAAAAGGACAAAAACGAAAUAGGUAAUAACCAAUCGGAAUUAAGAAACACUUUAAACACAAAUUUAUUUUUUCAAAACAUUAAUAAGUAUAAAAAUAGAGAUGUAAAAUCAGAAAAUAGACAUGAAUUUAAUAAUGGCGAAGAUGAUAACGACAUAAUUAUGAAAGUAUGUAAAGAUGACACCCAUAAACAAACAAAACUAAACUCAAUCCAAAAGUUAAAUAAACUGUUACAAAAUAAAUAUAAAUAUGUAAAUGGCUCCAGUGAAGUAAAUAAAAAACAAAACAUAUAUUUAAAUAUGAAUAAGUAUAAUAACUAUUUUGAUAUUUUAAAAAAGGAAGAUGAAGUUAUUGGUUAUGAUGUGGAAAGUAUUCACAAGCAGAAUAGCAAAUGUGCUAAUGUAAAUAAUUAUGUCAAUCUUGAUAAUAAGAAAAAUGAUAAUUAUGCUAAUAUAUUAUUAAACGUGUCAUCAGCAACAAAUAUAGAAGAUAGUUCAUAUAAACAAUUAAUAAAGAAAUCAAAAAUGUUAAAUGAAAUAACACACAAAUGUUUGAAUUCUUAUUCAGAUAUAGGAAAGUAUGACACACGUAAUUUGUAUUUAAAUAAAAACUUAUCAUAUAGAAAUGGGGAUAAUAAAAAUCGUGUUAAUAAUAGUAACAUAAAAGAGCAAAAUUUAUAUGAUACGUGUCUUGGCCAUAAUAACGGUAGUAGUAACGGUAGUAACGGUAGUAGUAACGGUAGUAAUGGCGGUAGUAAUGACGGUAGUAAUAACAGUAGUAAUGACGGUAGUAAUAACAGUAGUAAUAACAAAAAUGAUAACAGCAGUAGCAGUAGCAGUAGCAGUAGCAGUAGCAGUAGCAGUAACAGUAACAGUAACAUAAAAACUCUUUCCAUCAAUUUCGAUAAUUAUAAGAAGCACAUUCUUGUUAAUGAGGGUUGUGAUGAUUUUAAUAAUAUGAUAAAUAAAGAGUUUAUAGAAUCAAACAUGGGGUAUAUUAGUAAUGCUUGUAAGCAAUUGGUGGGACAGGUUGAAAGCAAGUCUACUGGUGGUGGGAAUGAAAAUAAUAUUUUUAGUAACUCUACAAAUGUAGGAAAGAGUGAAAACAGGAGAAAAAAGGGAAAAAAGGGAAAAGAGGGAAAAGAGGGAAAAGAGGGAAAAGAGGGAAAAGAGGGAAAAGAGGGAAAAGAGGGAAAAGAGGGAAAAGAGGGAAAAGAGGGAAAAGAGGAAAAGAACCAAAGCGAUGGAAAAACUUUUAUUAAUUUGAAUGAACAGCUUAAUAAAAAUGAUUGUAGUGCCGAAAAUGAUUCCACUUUUUUGAAUAAAAUAAACGUUGAAAAAAACAACAGUAAUUAUAGUAAGGAAAAUGAGAAACAACAAAGAAACUGUGAUCAUACGAAUCUACAAAAUGCAGGAGAAUGUAUAACUUGCAAUAACAAUGGAAAUAGCAAUAGUAAUAGCAAUGGCAAUGUAUGUCAAAAAAACAAUGGCAUAAAUAAAACGAAUGGUGAUAAAAACAAUAAGAUCUCUUUUAAUCAUGUUAACGUUUUAAAAAACGGUGUAAACUAUAAUGACACAAAAAAAACUGAAGUUAAUAAUAAACAGUACGAACAAGCUAUUUUUGAGUUUAAUAAGGAUGUGGAUUCAGUUAAAAAGGAAGUUAUAGGAAGUGUUGCUACAGGUGAUAGUUACAGUGACAGUGUCAAUGGAUAUACAGGUGUGAUCACGUUACAUCCAAAUGUAAGUACAAACAUGUAUGAAACAAAUAACAACGAAGUAAUAUUGGAGAGCGAAAAAAAAAAAAUAACAGAUAAUCAAAAAAAAACACUAAAUAAAUGUUAUGAUAGUAUUUCGCAUAUAAACGAUAUUAAUCGUUUGUCUAAAGAAAUUUAUUUUUUUCAAGACUUGUGUGAAAAAAGAAAAAAUAUAAUAAAAAAAAGUAAAAAGGAAAAUAUGAAACUAAAAAUAGAAAUAAAAUCAUUACUAAAUUUUAAUAACAAUUUAAAUGAUUUAUUAAAAGAAAAAGAAGCAGAAAAAAAUUUUCUAAAAAAGCAAAAAGAAGAACUAGAGUUAAAUUUAAUGAAGCAGUUAAAGAAUAAUACGAAACAUACAUAUAUGGGUUUAAAUGAAGUUCGAAAAGUCCAAACAGAUUUGUAUCUCCAGAACAAUCAGUUAGGUAAUAGCAGUGGCGUGCUGGCAUGUAUUGAUGACACACGGUCAUGUAAUCAUGACAUGUCAUAUGAGAAAGAAAACGAUAACGCUGAAAAUAAAAUAUAUGAUGAAGAUACUACCCUAUUAAUACAAAGUUAUGAAAAAAAAAUAAAAGAAUUAUUAAUACAAGUG
ensembl:lncRNA